GGUGCCAAGGUUACAAUAUUAGCAAUCACCUUGGAAGUCAGAGCACAGAAAUGACCCCCCAGCUGGGCUGUUCCCUGGGACGAGGUUUUCCUUUUCCCCAGAUCAAGCAGCUGCAGAGACUCUCAGGCACUCAGGGACCCUGCCAGGCUUUUCCCUAUCUCACCCGGGAAGGGGGCUACAGGACAGCCCUGGGGCAUGUGCAUGGUGGGUGGCAGCAGCAGAGGCAGGAGUAACGCCUGUGUCCUGCUGGAUGGAAAAUGAGGGGGUAGACCCUGGCCCCCAAGGACCACCUGUGGAGUGAACCUGAGAUUCUCAAACUGUGUUCUCCAUCCUCGGCUCCUCCAUUGCGACCAAAUGAGGCUGGGCAGUGCCUUCAGUGACCUCAGCCCCAGCAGCGGGAGUCUGGGAUAAACGCCACGGUUGUCUCAAAGGACCGUUCGACUUCCAUCUCACAGAACUGAUGCACCUUCCUUGCAGACAGUUGCUAAUUGGUUUUCGACUGAUGGCCGGUGUUUACGUAGCAAGAAUCAGAACCGCAAUAAUAACGAUUCAACAUCGACUAGGCGACUGUGCGCAGCGCUGGACAAGACACGGAUGUAAACAGAUGCUCCCUGCCUGCUCAGCUUGGUACCCAAAUAAUAAGGACAGACAUGAAGGGCUUGGGAAAGGCAUGAAGAUUCAUGAAGUUCAGGAUAGGUGGUAAGAGAAAUAAGCAUUUCGCGUUGGGUUGAAUUUCUUCGUGCAUUUUGGGGGCAUUUUGUGCUCCAUGAUUGGGCUUCUGGAAAGAGCGAGUCUAGGGAAGGAAUCUGAAGGUGGGUACGAUUGGCUAGAAUUUGAACUCCAUAACUGCGACUCUAAUUCUGCAAUCAGCUCGAGGCUCUGUUGCCUGCUCUUGCCACGGAAAAGCUAUGCAGCACAAAGCCAAGCCGGAUCCGAAGUGGGUUAGGGUAUUAUGUAAGCCCUUGGCGGGAGGGGAGAUGGUCUUCUACGUGUGUUCCUUUUGCAGCAGCGGCGGCAGCGGCGGCGGCGGCAGCAGCGAGUGGCUCAGGUUGAUUUAGAAUACGGAUGACAGUGGCCUGGCGCGAGCCCACGGCUGACGAAAGCUGCUUAUCCCGCUCGGUUUCCAUGGCGACGGGCGCGAGCAGCGGCGGCGGCGGCGGCGGCUGCGGCGGCGGCGGGGCUGUCAGCGAGCGCGGCGGCGGCGGUCGCGCGUCCGCGGGGGUCUGCAGGAGGAAGGAGGAGGCCGGGGCCCGGACCCUCGCGGCAGACAUGGACUUGCAUUGUGAUUGUGCUGCCGAAACUCCGGCCGCCGAGCAGCCGUCGGGGAAGAUUAAUAAAGCUGCUUUCAAAUUAUUCAAGAAGAGGAAAUCGGGUGGCACCAUGCCCAGCAUAUUUGGGGUCAAAAACAAAGGGGAUGGGAAAGGCUCGGGCUCGACGGGAAUGGUGAGGAGCAGGACCCACGACGGGCUGGCCGAGGUGGUGGUGCUGGAGAGCAGCAGGAAGGAGGAGCCGCGCGGCGGGGGCGACGGGGGCGGCGGCGGGGGCGGCGGCGGCGGGGCUCGGCCGAACCCGGGUCCCCCCAGGGCUGCCGUGCCCGGCGUGGGCUCCCUGGCCAACAGCUCGGUGGCGAAGUCACACAGCUUCUUCUCCCUUUUGAAGAAGAACGGGCGAUCCGAAAAUGGCAAAGGGGAGCAGGCAGAUGCAAGCAAGGCUGGCGGCAAACAAAAGAGGGGGCUGAAAGGGCUCUUCAGCAGUAUGCGCUGGCACAAGAAGGACAAGCGGGCCAAGGAGGAGGACAAGGGGGAGCGCGCGGGGGCGCCGGGCGGCCGCGUCCUGGUCCUGCCGGGGUCGCUCACCGCCAGCCUGGAGUGCGUCAAGGAGGAAACGCCCCGACCCGCCAGCGAGCCGGAGGAGCCCCGCCAGGACGCCCCGCGGGGCCCAGCAGGUGAGCCCGGAGGGGGAGAGCCGGCGCCGGCCGAAGUGCGGACCCGCCGAGAGGCCGAGAGCCCCGGGGUCCCUCACGCCGAAAGCGCCCGGGGAGAGGACGCCGCGGGGCAUCGGCGCGCCGACACGCCCGGGGCACCCCCCGAGCUGGGCGCUGCGGAGGCCCAGACGGCAGAGGAUGCUUCCAGGACAGGUGACGUUCCGAUAAAGACCGUCCCCCCUGUCGACUCCGAGUGCGGCAGCGGCCGAGCGUCUGCCGUCCCCGACCCCUCCUCUGUCGACCCACCCUCAGACCCAUCGGCCGAUCGUAUUUGUUUGAUGUUUUCUGACGUGACUUCACUGAAAAGCUUUGACUCUCUUACAGGCUGUGGAGAUAUUAUUGCAGACCAAGAGGACGAGGCAGGUCCCAGCUGUGACAAGCAUGCCCCCGGGCCAGGCAAGCCAGUUCUCUCUAAAAAGAACCCCAGCGUGGUGGCCUACCAAGGAGGAGGGGAGGAGAUGGCCAGCCCGGAUGAGGUGGACGACACCUAUCUCCAGGAAUUCUGGGACAUGCUGUCCCAGACUGAGGACCAAGGACAAGGGCCCCAAGAGGGAGCGGCUAAGGCAGCAGCAGCAGCACUGGAGACCAAGGUGGUACCUGAGACCUCCAAAGAUGCCAGGUGUGCAGAAGGGGCCAAGGACGUGUCCUUGGUCAAGCGCAGGAGGCUCAACCGGAUUCCCAUUGAGCUCCAGCCGAAGGAGGAGCCUCAGCACCCGGAGAAGGAGCAGCAGGAAGGAGUCCCCAACAGUGACGAGGGCUACUGGGAUUCCACCACCCCUGGCCCAGAGGAAGACGGCACCAACAGUGGGAAAAAGGCGGGCAUCCCCCGGGACAGCUACAGUGGCGACGCCCUCUACGAUCUCUACGCUGAUCCCGACGCGAGCCCGGCAGCCCUUCCCGCCAACGAGGAGACGUCCUGCGUGUCCCGGUUAAAGCCUGUGUCUCCAGGCACCAUCACCUGUCCCCUGCGAACACCAGGCAGUUUGCUGAAGGACUCGAAGAUCCCUAUCAGCAUCAAGCACCUCGCGAACCUUCCAUCCAGCCAUCCCGUAGUGCACCAGCAACCAGCCAGGAGUGAGAUGCCCAGAACAAAAAUCCCCGUUUCCAAAGUGCUGGUCCGCAGGGUCAGCAACCGGGGCUUAGCUGGGACCACCAUCCGCGCAGCGGCGUGCCACGACAGUGCCAAAAAGUUGUGAGGUCUCCGAGGCCAAGGUGGAUGGACCACAUGUCAAGGAAUACAACUUUCCCUGGAAAUCACUAAAAUAAGUUUUGUUUCCCCUAAAGAAAGGCUUUUAGGACGUCCCUGCUGCAGAGCCUGGACUGAGGAGGUCUUUGUGCCGCCAGUAGGGGCAGGAUCCACCCGAGAGGGGGAGCUACACAUGGGAUUCUCCUCUCAAGAUAAGUCCCUGAGAAUUCUUUUCAAGCACUUUUUCUUUUUUACCUUUUUAAAAAUCUUUUUUCUUUCUUUUUUUCUUUGAUGCACUGAACACUCAGAGGCCACCUUUACUUGCCUUUGCAGAAAACAGGACAUAAUCAAACCUAGGAAAAAAACGACCCUUUGUUGUAUCACUGUGUGGGAAACACCUACAAAGGUGAAAGAGCCAGGUAUUUACCUGAGGAGCAGGAGGGGGAUCAUUGAUGGGCAGAAAACUUGCCUUCUUUCAGUUGCUAGGUAUGCAAACAGGUAAAUACCGACCACUAGGACAACAAGGGAGAGUCUGGGUUGGUUGGUUUAGAUCAUUCCUUUGGCGAGAAAUAAAAAGCUCAGCAGAGCACGUUUUUCCCUUUUUUUUUUUUUCCACCCAGUGCAGAAAUCAGGAUCAGGGAAAGAUUUCACUAAAUGCCAAUAGCCACAGUAUUUUAGCAUUUAUAAACUCUGUAACCUUUUCAUGUGUAGAUAAUGCAUAUUUUACAGUUUAUUCAGCUGUUAACAUUUUAUAAUCUGUCAGUAACCUCAAGUCUAAAAUCUGGUUUUAUAGCUAGAUAUGGUAACUGUCCCCAAACCAUUGAUGUUCUUUUAUGUGCUGUGACCAGAAGCAGUUCUGUUUUGUUUUAUAUGGGUUCUCUGGCUCUCAAUGCAGAAAAAAAGAUCUAUUGUGUUGAUGUGUCAGAGGAAUGGUUCUGCCUUGUCUUGGGUAAGGGUCUAUUCGUUUCUCACCCCCAACCCUGGUGUUCAGAAAUUUGACCUUGGUUAUAAAAAUUUUGGAUUCAACCAUUCCUCAAUAUGGGGAGUCCAAAAUGAGGAACACGUAAAGAAAAACAAUAGAAAACUAUAGUUUUUCAUGUUAUCGGACUUUUGCUUUAUAGACUUGUAUCUGAGACAGAUAUGUUCAGAAUAUGACACUGGCAAGCUUACGUAUCCUAAACACUUUAUGCCAAGAUUUUUUUGAAAAGUGGUUGACUUUGACACAUAUUUUCUAUUAUUUUAGAUAAAACACUUAUUUCAGAAAGGGUUACCGUAUGCCUACUUGGAGUGAUACACUGAACCAGUGCCUAAAAUGCUAUUAGUGCCCCAUGAUUAUAUCACAUCCUCUUUGAAAUGCACUUCAGUGUAUUUAAUCAGAAGACCGGGGCCUCUGCUGGGAGGUGCCUCACAGUCUCAGGAAGGUUAGACACAUUCAAGGGGAAUUACACGCAUGUAAAUGCCAUAAGCCCUUCUAUGUAACUCUAGUUUUCCAGAGAGAUUGCCCUAAUAACCAACUGAUACUACCUUUGCUUUUAAAGUUUCUUCUCUGUUUUAUAAAAGAAAGAAUAAAGCAAGUUGAGUAUAUGAAAACCUAUUUUAAUAAUAUGGAGGAAGUAAGAAAAUGAGCAGGCGUCAAAGGAAAACAGAUUUGAGCCAGUAGCACAAAGCAGGUUGUUCCUCAUUUUAAAUUUAUAAUGAUUUGAUUAGAAGAGGUGGUAGAGAUUUGCUGAGUUUCUUUAUUAGUCAGAUUACUGGCUUUUAUUGCUUUGUGUCAGAUCCUUAAUGUUAUUACAAAGUAAUGUUUUAAUGUUGAAUUUUCUUAUGUCGGUAGAUGAAGUCCUGUACUCAGACAGAAGCACUCUGAAUACACCACCAGGAACUCAUACAGUAACUCACACUUACACGUGCCCAUGCACUCAGCUGUGCACAAACCAACAGACAAAGGCAGCUACUGUAAACCCAGAAAUAUUUUAGAAAUUAUUUCUGUCUUUAGAAAAGCAAUUUAAAUUUGAUUUAACACUGAUAGUACUAUUUAGACUCAAAAUACAUUCAUUUUUCCCUAGUGAAUGGAAAGAACAUAAAUUUUAUUCCUAGCUAUAAAACAAAGGAUCUUUAUUUUCUUCUUGCACACUUUCCUGCAAGGGUUAUUUUCUUCUCUGCAUGGAUUCUUGACAAAGUUAUAUUAGUUCAUUUGUUCAAUUGUACAGGAAAGUUAAGAGUAUCUGAAGUACUAAUGAGAAUAUUGUAAUAGUACAAGCGGUCUAUUUACUUGUUUUGUAAGCACUGGAACAAACUAUUUUUGCUUUCACAGCUUGGGGACUUAUUUCUGCAUUUACACCACUAUGCUGUGUCUUCUUUUCUAAGUAAAGGAAAAUGUCAGCCAAGUUUAUUUUACUUUCUCCUUCCUGUCAACCGGUUAGACAAGAUUUAAAAUGUUUUCUUUUAUAAUUCUUUUCUUCAUAUAUUUCCCACGUUUUUUAUUCUAUAUCUUUAAGAAUUCCACCCACACCAGUCAAAUGAAGAAUUCAGGCAACGAAUUAAAGGGCCUCAAUCGCUUGAUGGGAAAUCCGGGCCAAUGCAAGAAGAGUGUGUCUUAAUCUUUUCCAACCAUAGACAAGGGAUAAAGUUGCUUUUUUGUGCCAAGGGCUACUUUCAUUUACGUUUGUGAAGACUCUCUUUUAGAAUUUUAAUAGAUUUACAUUCCAAUUAUUAAUGCAUUAUCUAAUUUGGCCCUAUUUGCUGAUAUUUUUAGGGAAAGGAUUGGAUAUGGGCUGAUGACAAACUUUCCUGUGUAUAUAUGAUUCUGAAAUACUUGGUUGAUUAAGUCGCUUUAGGCAAAGAGCUGGCCAGUGUAGAGAGGAAAAGUCAAAUCAAUUGUUGGCCCUGAAUUUAUCGGUCAGUUCAAUAGCUCUGCAUGAAGACAGCCUGGCUUUAAAACCUCCAUCGCACAGACGAUGUUUCCUGACCCACUCUGCUUCAGCACCAAUGGCGGUUGAUGCUUUUAAUCUUCCAUUAGCACCAACUGGGAGAAAUUUUACCACAGCAUUUUUAAUAAUUGCAGGAGGAAAUAGAUUUUUAUUAUUUCCCCUAAUAAACAAUGGAAUAUAGAACAUUAGGAACUUCCUUUAGAUACAUUUCCACAAAUUAUCUGCCAAUUAAAAUACAAAGUGUUGAAUAUCUGUGAAAAUGAUGCCUUUCUGAGUGUAAAGGGUUUACUCAGUCUCAGAAGUAGUUUUCAAGUAUUUGCACUUAAAUGAAUAUUCAAAUAACCCUUUGCUUACACAGUUGUCAAGGUAAAGAGACUGUAUUAGGUAUCAAGAUUUCUUUGACUGAACUUUCUGAGUUUUCAUUAUUUACAUCUUUGUCAGGUUAAGUUUUGGAGACUUUUUACUGUCCACUUCUUUUGGAGAGAUUGGGUAAUGUGCUCGUGGUCCUCUCCCUUUGUCUCCAUGCUGUUGGCUUAGUGCCCUUGGAUAGCAGUACUGGGACCCUUGUCGCGAUGGUAGUGUGUUUUGACACUUCUUAGUGGAACGUCUUUCCUGCUUGUAGUUGUACCAGACUUCUCUCCUGAAGUGUGACUAUCUGGGCUUGGCCCCUGGGCCUGGCUUCCGCUGAGAAACGUUCCAAUACAUUCACAUAUACUUCACCCCCCCUUGUCAUUCUUAAUAAAUUAAUUCAAGAAUUUUAUUCUCUUAAACAAAGGAAAAGCAUUGCUGUAGCCUCUUACCACUCCUGAUGACCUGAGAAUGCUCAGUUAAAAGUACCUGGGUGAAAUAAGAGGAGAAACCCAAAUACCUUGGCCUAACCCCCCUUCCCUCCCCCUUCUCUAGGCAGACCAAGGGAUGAACACACUUCUCAUUUGUGUACACUCUGCCUUAGGAAUUUUGAAUUUGUUAUCCACAAAUAUUUAUAAAACAGUUUGAGACCAAAAGGCUAGUAUGGCGGACUGGUAUUUUCUAUGUAGCCAUGUGGGGAAGCAAGAGGCAAGCUUUUACCUCCUAAAAAGAAGCAGGCUACAAUAUUGUCAGGUGGUAGGCAAGUGUGGUCCUUUCUUAAGGGCAGUCAUUGACACUGUGACCCGUCUUGCUCUGAGGAUGUUCUGACGGCUGUCGUGGAUUGCUUCUCAGAGCCUUUUCACUGUGAUGAUGAUUUAAACAAUAGCCACUUAUAAAGAAAGUUAUUAUCUCACUGCAGAUAGUGUCUUUAAGGAGUCAUUCAGAAUGCUAGUUUCAUGAUUAUGGAAAGGAGUUCCUUCUCAAACUGGAAAAGGAAAGAUUGAACCAGUCACAAAGACUCCAGGUCUGAAACUGGGCACAUUUUAUGACUGCUAUUUACUUUAAUUCAAUGCAACCCAUAUUCCUGGGGCAUACACUGUACCUAAAUUUUAAGAAAAGCCCAUUCAGUUUGGAGCUCACACAUAGCUGUGUUGUAAUUGGACUUUCUUAAUAUUUUUUAAAACCAUCUUGAUUUUAUUUUACCUAUCUUUCUUUGUUUUGUUGCUUAUAGUUUGUGGGGUGGAGCAGAAUGGCUGAGGUUGAACACGGGCGAUGUGGAUUAAGCCACACAAAUUCCUCUAAAAAUAAUAAUUAUCAUAACAAUGAUUAACAUUUAUCAAAGACUUAGUAAGUUCCAGUGAUUGCUAGGAGCGUUACAAAUAUUUACUUAGUCCUCUUAACAGCCAUGCGAGUUAGGCAAAAUCUCCCUAAUACGCCAUCUUUAAUUCACCUUUUUUGUUUGUCUCCAUCCCAUUCCAUCUCUCGCUCUCUUUUCCCCUAGUCUUUGCGGCAGGGAUGGAGAAUCUUUAGUGACUCAUGGUAGUAGGGAAGCUAAGAACUGCUUAAUAUCUUUCAGCAGAAGCAAAGCUAACCUAUGUCAGAAGCUGAAAAUGGUAUUGUGUCCAAGACCGUGGUGCUCCCAUUGCUCACAGGGAAACCUGCCACUGUCGCACAGUUAAUGGGCUAACAAUCUGCCUUCCUUUGGAGGCUCCUCUCUUUCUUGGGAUUAACUUCAAACGUGUGGACAGAAAUCUCUUCUGCUGUCAUGGAAGCACUUCUUCCCUGCUGGGAUGUCAGUCAUUCCAAGCACCCUUCACUUGUUGCUUUUCCAACUUCAGCCCAGUCUAAGCUUGUUCUGGGUGUUCUCUGUUAUUGUUUGAAUAGGAGCAGCCUGGGGAAUCCCUGGCCUGGAUACAUUUCUGAGCCUCAGACAUAAGCUCCUGUCUCUUUCAAAAGUAGCGCAUCCUAUGUUCUGUCUACAGCCAUUGAAUCCUGGCCUAUCUUUUCUGAUUCAUUAAUUCGUUCAACUAAUAUUUGUCGAAUAGCUACAAAUCGGUCACCAUGAAUUUGAGUAUUUUAUAUUAAAUUAAAAUUAAUGUGUUAAGGUAAAAUCCUGUGUGUUUACGCCGUGCCGGGAUGACGCUGUGUACUUGCCUUUGCGUUGCUCUCUCCGCUGUUCACAAGAACCGUGCAAGGUGGGUGUUGGCUCCACUCUACAGAGGAAGAAAAUGAUGCUCACAAAGGUGAAAUACCUUGUCCAAAGUCACCCAUUUAAUAAGAACGGACAGAAUUUAAACCAGAAGUCUAACUCUGUAGCUCAUGCUUUAAUUAUAAUCCUUUUUUGGCCGUAGGAUUCAAUCUUUGCGUAACUUGUUUUACGUAACAAACUGAUCAAAGUUCUGAAAUGCAAGAGCCAAACCAGAUUUUUGAUUGUGGAUACCGUUAAAACCAUGACUAGUUUAGUCAAAGGUGAACUUGGUUUUUUUAAGAAAAAUUACUUGAUGGCUUUUAUAUGUGCAAGUCUAGAAGGUAGAUCUCGGAGUCUAGCAGGUUUUUUUUCUCACCUGGGCCAGUCAAAAUUUUGGACCAUAUUCACCAAUUAUUUUAGAGUUACAUACUGGCAGGUCUACAUACGGAUUUUAUAAUCUGAUGACGCUUUGUCAAUAAGAAAACCAAAAGCAGUUUCAGGAGUGAACUCAACAGAUUGCUGUCUGAGUUUUCUUCCACUCUGAUUCUCCUGAGAUGCCACUCUCAGCAUUUAGGGAAAAUCCGUUUGAAAUUGCAUCACGGUCACAAUUAAUGAGGUUAUUUUACUAACACGUGGGCUGCCUACACUUGGUAAAAUGCUUUUUUAAUGAAUUCUACAUUUCAUUUUAAUGGGAGGUAAUAGAAGAUUUCAAUAACAGAUGGUCAUUCUACUGAAUUGUAAACUGGGGUAAUUUUUGGAAAUUAUUCGGUGAUUGGGUAGAGUAACUCUCUGUUCUAUGUGAGAAGAUCCAUUUUUAAUAAGUUACUGGUUAUUGGAGACAUAUUAAACUUUCCCACAUACCUACCGAAUCACUUGGUAACUCAAGCUGAAAUACUAAAAAUAUCGGGUCAAAUUGCAUAGGGACAUAGAGUAGACAUACAGUAAAUACUCGUUAACAUGUCAUGAGUGGCCCCAGGUAGCCUGAAGGAAUCAGUGAACCUUCUCGAAUAUCUGCAUUACAACCAUUUAUCCCCCACUACACAGUUACGUCUAGAUAAAGGAGGAGAAACUCUAACCAAGUAAUAUUUAACAUUUUUAUUGCUUCCAGGAUAAAUUUAACUGGAUGUGGAGGACCUGAUAGUGGUAGCUUUAUCAAGAAUAUCAGGGAGAAUGGUUUUGAUGCUACAGGAAAAGUCAAUUCUUGUCCUUUUCACUUGACUCCAGCUAUCUACCAGGCUCAUUGCUAACUGCAGGUUUUGCCCAAGAUAUUUAUAUGAAAUAUCUCAGUGUAAAACAGGAAAUUGCAGGUUAUUUGAAAACAAUGAUAAAGAAAACCCAAAUGAGAGACUCCCUUUCUAUAAUUAAUUUUCCUGAGAGUCAGGCGUGUCUUUGAGGACAAGCUUUUGGCUGUAUUAUUUUUGUGCACAGGAGGAAAAUUGUUAGUAGGUUUAUAUAUAUUAUUUUUAUAAUAGAAUGUUAAACUCCCCCAAAACAUCAAAAAUUGUCUCCUAGAACUACUCUAUGUUUUUGAAACUUGUUUUAACAAAGGAUUCUAAAUAGCAAUAGGGUCUUUUCUCCUUUCUCCACUCCAAUGGUUUAAUGGGGUAGAUGAACCAAUGUUUAUAUUUUUAAACCUGUAAAUAUUUUAUUUUGGGUAUUUUGUAUAUUUGUUGAUAUAAUUCCAUUUUGUGCAUAUGUAUCAUUGUGCAUGUUGCCGUUUUUGAUAGUCACUCUUAAUGAAUGUAAGAAGCUUGGACUAAUAGCACUUUUCUUGUUUCAUUCAAACAUCUUAAAUUGAAAAUAUGACACUGCCAUUUUAACUGUUGUGUUUAAGUCAGUCAAUAAAUUUCGUUACUCCUUUACAUUUAAAGUGA